GUUAGGGUGGCAGAGCGUGGUAAUUGCAAAAGGUCUAAGCCCUUUUAACAGGGGUUCAAAUCCCCUCCCUAACU
rnacentral:tRNA from 1 species